rnacentral:rRNA from 1 species
ACUAAGCGUACACGGUGGAUGCCCUGGCAGUCAGAGGCGAUGAAGGACGUGCUAAUCUGCGAUAAGCGUCGGUAAGGUGAUAUGAACCGUUAUAACCGGCGAUUUCCGAAUGGGGAAACCCAGUGUGUUUCGACACACUAUCAUUAACUGAAUCCAUAGGUUAAUGAGGCGAACCGGGGGAACUGAAACAUCUAAGUACCCCGAGGAAAAGAAAUCAACCGAGAUUCCCCCAGUAGCGGCGAGCGAACGGGGAGGAGCCCAGAG